UCUGACCUCAAAUCAGGNAGGACUACCCGCUGAACUUAAGCAUAUCAAUAAGCGGAGGAAAAGAAACUAACAAGGAUUCCCCUAGUAACUGCGAGUGAAGCGGGAAAAGCUCAAAUUUAAAAUCUGGCGUCUUCGGCGUCCGAGUUGUAUUCUGGAGAAGCGNCUUCCGCGUUGGACCGNGNACAAGUUUCUUGGAACAGAACAUCNUAGAGGGNGAGAAUCCCGUCUUUGACACGGACUACCAAUGNUUUGUGAUGCGCUCUCAAAGAGUCGCGUUGUUUGGGAAUGCAGCGCAAAANGGGNGGNAUAUUCC
rnacentral:rRNA from 1 species